rnacentral:tmRNA from 1 species
GGGGGUGAAAUGGUUUCGACAGGGAAUUGGUGUGGUAGAGAUGCAUGUCGGAGAUGCUAUCCACUCCGUUAACAAGUAGCACCGCAAAUUAAUUGCAAACGAUAACUUACUCUUAGCCGCUUAAUCGCGCUAACGUUCGCCUCAUCCGUGCCAUCGGGAUGAGAACGGGCGUCGAAACAGUAUGGCCGCUCGUUGAUCGAUCGCCGAUAAAUCAGCGCUAAGACCAUCGGCUGGAGCUUUGAGGGUCUGAUUGUCUUCCACCUCAAAGCUUGAAACUAAAAGACAACUAAGCAUGUAGAUUCUUUAUGGCGCUGCUCUUUGGACGCGGGUUCGAUCCCCGCCACCUCCACCA